rnacentral:rRNA from 1 species
GAUGAACGCUGGCGGCGUGCCUAAUACAUGCAAGUCGAGCGCGAGAGUGAGGAGCUUGCUCCUCAUAAUCGAGCGGCGGACGGGUGAGUAACACGUAGGCAACCUACCCUUGAGAUUGGGAUAACUACCGGAAACGGUAGCUAAUACCGGAUACGACUUUUCCACACAAGUGGAAUGGUUAAAAGGCGGAUUUAUCUGCCGCUCAUGGAUGGGCCUGCGGUGCAUUAGCUAGUUGGUGAGGUAGCGGCUCACCAAGGCGACGAUGCAUAGCCGACCUGAGAGGGUGAUCGGCCGCACUGGGACUGAGACACGGCCCAGACUCCUACGGGAGGCAGCAGUAGGGAAUCUUCCGCAAUGGACGCAAGUCUGACGGAGCAACGCCGCGUGAGUGAUGAAGGGUUUCGGCUCGUAAAACUCUGUUGUUAAGGAAGAACACUUGAGGUAGUAACUGGCCUUGAGAUGACGGUACUUAACCAGAAAGCCACGGCUAACUACGUGCCAGCCGCCGCGGUAA